rnacentral:rRNA from 1 species
CCUACGGGUGGCAGCAGUGAGGAAUAUUGGUCAAUGGACGCAAGUCUGAACCAGCCAUGCCGCGUGCAGGAAGACGGCUCUAUGAGUUGUAAACUGCUUUUGUACGAGGGUAAACGCAGAUACGCGUAUCUGUCUGAAAGUAUCGUACGAAUAAGGAUCGGCUAACUCCGUGCCAGCAGCCGCGGUCAGACGGAGGAUUCAAGCGUUAUCCGGAUUUAUUGGGUUUAAAGGGUGCGUAGGCGGUCGGAUAAGUUAGAGGUGAAAUGCCGAGGCUCAACUUCGGAAUUGCCUCUGAUACUGUUAGGCUAGAGAGUAGUUGCGGUAGGCGGAAUGCAUGGUGUAGCGGUGAAAUGCUUAGAGAUCAUACAGAACACCGAUUGCGAAGGCAGCUUACCAAGCUACUUCUGACGUUGAGGCACGAAAGCGUGGGGAGCAAACAGGAUUAGAUACCCUUGUAGUC